CACCAACCUUCCCUCGGCCGAAGGUUGCACUCGUGAGUGAACAGUUCAAGCUCCUCUGUGACUUCUGCAGGGAGCUGUCGCUGUGUCUCUGCUUCGAUUUAUCAAAGCAGCUGUUAGGGGCGUCCCUCACCUCCCUGUUUGGGGGCUGCCUGUUCUGCAGGAGCGAGAACCUCCCCUCCUCAGUUUUAGGCUAGGUGUAGACCAGAUAAAGGUUGCUUGCAGAGCUUCAUAUUCUCCACUUGUCUUUUCUUGCUUGCCUCCUCCCCUGCCAACUCUGUAGACCAAUAUCAGGGUCUUGCUGUGUACCUAGACUGGCUUAGAACUUAAGAUCUUCCUUCCUCCUUCUCCCAAGUGCUGUGAUUACAGGCAUGUACCACCAUGCCUGGCUGACAUCUUUUGUUUAAGCAACUAGAUUUCUUUCACAUGGAACAUAAAGAGCCUGAACUGACAUAUUUUUUUGAGCUUGGAACCAGGAACACCCUUACCAACAGGAACUAUGGCUGUCGUUUAUUCACAUGGAAUACAAUCACAAUUUGUCAGGGAAAAAAAAAUGCUAACUGCCUGAGAGUUGGUGAGUUUUUCCUUUAACAUCCCUCUACUAGUACUAAUUCACUUCUUACUUGUGAGUUUCUAAGAGCAGAGAGGUUGGCAGGAGCUAAAAAGUCUAAGCUGUGAAAAAAAUUAAGUGUGAAAUCAUAAAUCUACUAACUUAUUUUAUAGACAAAUUGCAAAGUAAUUUCCUGGGAACCAUUGUCCCAGUACAGUGAUUCCUAGAAGGGAUUCCCAAUUUGUAUUAUUUUUCAAAUAAUUUUUCAAAUACUUGAUACAAAUACAUGACCUAAAAUUCAAAAGGUAUAUACAAAAGGGCACACCUAUGUGUCAUUGCAGCUUCCCAGUUGCCCUCCUUAAAGGAAACCACCAUUAUCAGUAUCUUGUAUGUCCCUCCAGAGAUAUUCUAUGGUAGCACUGUCCAUCAGAACUGUAAUGAUGAUGUAAUCCCAGCUGCUCAGGAAGCAGAGAUCAUGAGGAUCACAGUUUGAGGCCAGACUGGGCAAAAAGUUAAUGAGCCCCCCCAUCUCAACAAAUAAGCUGGGUGUGGUGGUUGGUGCCUUGGUCCCACCUUAAUGGGAGGCAUAGGUAGAAGGAUUGCAGUCUAAGGCUGGCAUCAGGCAACAAGUGCGAGACCCUAUCCAAAAAUUAACAAAAGAAAAAGCUGGGGUUAUGGGCUUAAGCAGUAGACCUAGCAAGUGCUAGCCUGAGUUUAAACCCUUGGACUGCUAAAAAGAGAACCGUAUAAUGAUGAAAAUGUCUAACCAUUGCUGUUCAAUAUUGCAGUCACUAGCCAGGCACAUGUGGCUAUUGAGCAAUGGAAAUUUGGCUAGUGUGACUUAGGUGCUGACUUUUAAAUUUUAAUUUGUAUUAAUUUAAAUUUAUAUUUAAAUAUUGAUAUGUGGCUAGUGAUUACUAUAUUGGGACCCCAAUUUUGUACAGAUAAUACACAACACACAGUCACGUACGAUGCACAUUAUACUAGCCUUGCUUCAUUCACUUACCAGUGCCUAAGUACCAUGGAGAUAGAUUUUUCAAAACUACUACAAAACAUCUGUUGUAAUUCGUGAGGGCAAUCUUGGAGAGCCAUGGGCCAUCACUUUUUAUAGCAAGCUCCAAACUCUCCAACAUAUAUAAUGAAGACACCUCACAGCACUCCUAGGUUCCCCAUCCCCCCACUUUUACCACCUUGGGUUUGGGGGGGCUUUGAAUAGUCCCUUUUGGGAACUGGGGGGAAAAUUUACCAUGAGUCACUGCCCUAAAACACAUUCUCUGCCCACAUGGCCUAUGCCUGAUGGUGGCAGCAUUCUUUAGGGUUCAUCACAGCUCUUUAAGUGAUUCUCCUUUUAAAAAAUCAAAGUCUCUGGGGAAGAUAGCAAUUAAGGUAGAAUGUCUGGGCCUAAACUUGGAUUUUUGCCUGAUGAGAGUGGCCAAGGGGCUUUGAGGAGCAUGGGGACUUUGUCGGGGAAUCUCACUGUGUUGAGCCAUGAGGAUCCCUGACUAAGUUUGUGCCUUUAUUUUUUUAUGGCACUGGGGUUUGGACUCAGGGCCUCAAGCUUGCUAGGUAGGUGCUCUUAGCACUUCAGCCAUUCUGCCAGCACUUUUU